rnacentral:rRNA from 1 species
UACGUAGGUGGCAAGCGUUGUCCGGAUUUACUGGGCGUAAAGAGCGCGCAGGCGGCUGGCCAAGUCCGAUGUGAAAGCUCCCGGCUUAACUGGGAAACUGCAUCGGAAACUGGUCGGCUUGAAGGUGGGAGAGGGUAGCGGAAUUCCCGGUGUAGUGGUGAAAUGCGUAGAUAUCAGGAAGAACACCCGUGGCGAAAGCGGCUCUCUGGAACGGUACUGACGCUGAGACGCGAAAGCGUGGGGAGCGAACAGG